GCUCCGGUAGCUCAGCGGAUCAGAGCAGCGGGCUUCUAUCCCGCGUGUCGGGGGUUCGAGUCCCUCCCGGAGUACCA
rnacentral:tRNA from 1 species